UUUUAUGCCAGGUGAUGAAACAACAACGCAAUUUCACGGAUUAAAUAAAACAUCCGAUGAGGAAAGUAGACCCGGAUCUUAUGGGGGCAAUAAUACACCGGGCCAUUAUAAUGAUGAGCUGGGCCAUUCCACAGAAAUGGACAGAAGUGAAGCAUUUCGUGGU